GAGGGUAUAGCUUGGUGGCAGAGCACGUGCUUAGCAGGCACAAGGUCCUGGGUUCAAUUCCCAGGACCUCCA
rnacentral:tRNA from 1 species